GGCUUAAUACAUGCUUUGCUCCCUUAACUUAUUUUUGAAUUUCAUUUUGGUCCCUUAACUUUAAACCGUCUCAAUUUGGUCCCAUAACUUUACCUCCGUUUACCUAACAGAAGGGACCACUUAGGUAAACGGAGGCAAAGUUAUGGGACCAAAUUGAGACGGUUUAAAGUUAAGGGACCAAAAUGAAAUUCAAAAAUAAGUUAAGGGACCAAAGCAUGUAUUAAGGCAA
rnacentral:pre_miRNA from 1 species